UUACAGGCCAAGAUUGGAAAUAGUAAAAGUGUUUGUGUACUUAUAGAGAGCCGAUGGUUGGUGGAAAUCGGUAGACACACAUUUUGAACUCGUCCAUGAGCUACUCCCUGAACAGUAGUUAGUAAGGGAUGUCGGUUUCCUCCGUUAACAGGAUAGACAGUGAUAGCUGUCGAUAAGAGGACUUUUUCUGCAAAGAAAGGUCAAUUAGAGUGGUACCGCGAGCAAAAACUCGUCUCUAUU
rnacentral:ncRNA from 1 species